UUAAGCGACUAAGCGUACACGGUGGAUGCCCUGGCAGUCAGAGGCGAUGAAGGACGUGCUAAUCUGCGAUAAGCGUCGGUAAGGUGAUAUGAACCGUUAUAACCGGCGAUUUCCGAAUGGGGAAACCCAGUGUGAUUCGUCACACUAUCAUUAACUGAAUCCAUAGGUUAAUGAGGCGAACCGGGGGAACUGAAACAUCUAAGUACCCCGAGGAAAAGAAAUCAACCGAGAUUCCCCCAGUAGCGGCGAGCGAACGGGGAGCAGCCCAGAGCCUGAAUCAGUGUGUGUGUUAGUGGAAGCGUCUGGAAAGGCGCGCGAUACAGGGUGACAGCCCCGUACACAAAAAUGCACAUGCUGUGAGCUCGAUGAGUAGGGCGGGACACGUGGUAUCCUGUCUGAAUAUGGGGGGACCAUCCUCCAAGGCUAAAUACUCCUGACUGACCGAUAGUGAACCAGUACCGUGAGGGAAAGGCGAAAAGAACCCCGGCGAGGGGAGUGAAAAAGAACCUGAAACCGUGUACGUACAAGCAGUGGGAGCACGCUUAGGCGUGUGACUGCGUACCUUUUGUAUAAUGGGUCAGCGACUUAUAUUCUGUAGCAAGGUUAACCGAAUAGGGGAGCCGAAGGGAAACCGAGUCUUAACUGGGCGUUAAGUUGCAGGGUAUAGACCCGAAACCCGGUGAUCUAGCCAUGGGCAGGUUGAAGGUUGGGUAACACUAACUGGAGGACCGAACCGACUAAUGUUGAAAAAUUAGCGGAUGACUUGUGGCUGGGGGUGAAAGGCCAAUCAAACCGGGAGAUAGCUGGUUCUCCCCGAAAGCUAUUUAGGUAGCGCCUCGUGAAUUCAUCUCCGGGGGUAGAGCACUGUUUCGGCAAGGGGGUCAUCCCGACUUACCAACCCGAUGCAAACUGCGAAUACCGGAGAAUGUUAUCACGGGAGACACACGGCGGGUGCUAACGUCCGUCGUGAAGAGGGAAACAACCCAGACCGCCAGCUAAGGUCCCAAAGUCAUGGUUAAGUGGGAAACGAUGUGGGAAGGCCCAGACAGCCAGGAUGUUGGCUUAGAAGCAGCCAUCAUUUAAAGAAAGCGUAAUAGCUCACUGGUCGAGUCGGCCUGCGCGGAAGAUGUAACGGGGCUAAACCAUGCACCGAAGCUGCGGCAGCGACGCUUAUGCGUUGUUGGGUAGGGGAGCGUUCUGUAAGCCUGUGAAGGUGUACUGUGAGGUAUGCUGGAGGUAUCAGAAGUGCGAAUGCUGACAUAAGUAACGAUAAAGCGGGUGAAAAGCCCGCUCGCCGGAAGACCAAGGGUUCCUGUCCAACGUUAAUCGGGGCAGGGUGAGUCGACCCCUAAGGCGAGGCCGAAAGGCGUAGUCGAUGGGAAACAGGUUAAUAUUCCUGUACUUGGUGUUACUGCGAAGGGGGGACGGAGAAGGCUAUGUUGGCCGGGCGACGGUUGUCCCGGUUUAAGCGUGUAGGCUGGUUUUCCAGGCAAAUCCGGAAAAUCAAGGCUGAGGCGUGAUGACGAGGCACUACGGUGCUGAAGCAACAAAUGCCCUGCUUCCAGGAAAAGCCUCUAAGCAUCAGGUAACAUCAAAUCGUACCCCAAACCGACACAGGUGGUCAGGUAGAGAAUACCAAGGCGCUUGAGAGAACUCGGGUGAAGGAACUAGGCAAAAUGGUGCCGUAACUUCGGGAGAAGGCACGCUGAUAUGUAGGUGAAGUCCCUCGCGGAUGGAGCUGAAAUCAGUCGAAGAUACCAGCUGGCUGCAACUGUUUAUUAAAAACACAGCACUGUGCAAACACGAAAGUGGACGUAUACGGUGUGACGCCUGCCCGGUGCCGGAAGGUUAAUUGAUGGGGUUAGCGCAAGCGAAGCUCUUGAUCGAAGCCCCGGUAAACGGCGGCCGUAACUAUAACGGUCCUAAGGUAGCGAAAUUCCUUGUCGGGUAAGUUCCGACCUGCACGAAUGGCGUAAUGAUGGCCAGGCUGUCUCCACCCGAGACUCAGUGAAAUUGAACUCGCUGUGAAGAUGCAGUGUACCCGCGGCAAGACGGAAAGACCCCGUGAACCUUUACUAUAGCUUGACACUGAACAUUGAGCCUUGAUGUGUAGGAUAGGUGGGAGGCUUUGAAGUGUGGACGCCAGUCUGCAUGGAGCCG
rnacentral:rRNA from 1 species